GACCAUGGCUCAGUGGAUGAACAUUUGAUUUGCACUCAGAAGGUCCUAGGUUCAAUCCUUGGCAUCACCA
rnacentral:tRNA from 1 species